rnacentral:rRNA from 1 species
ACGAUGCGUAGGGGUUCUGAGAGGAAGGUCCCCCACACUGGUACUGAGACACGGACCAGACUCCUACGGGAGGCAGCAGUGAGGAAUAUUGGUCAAUGGGCGGAAGCCUGAACCAGCCAAGUCGCGUGAGGGAAGACGGUCCUAUGGAUUGUAAACCUCUUUUGCAGGGGAGCAAGGCGCGGUACGUGUACCGCGAAGGAGAGUACCCUGAGAAAAAGCAUCGGCUAACUCCGUGCCAGCAGCCGCGGUAAUACGGAGGAUGCGAGCGUUAUCCGGAUUUAUUGGGUUUAAAGGGUGCGCAGGCGGACUGUUAAGUCAGCGGUAAAAUGUCGGUGCUCAACACCGGCCGGCCGUUGAAACUGGCAGCCUUGAGUGAGCGAGAAGUAUGCGGAAUGCGUGGUGUAGCGGUGAAAUGCAUAGAUAUCACGCAGAACUCCGAUUGCGAAGGCAGCAUACCGGCGCUCAACUGACGCUCAGGCACGAAAGCGUGGGUAUCGAACAGGCUUAGAUACCCUGGUAGUCCACGCAGUAAACGAUGAAUGCUCACUGUCCGGGCCGUUUAAGGCCUGG